UUUGAUCCUGUUGGAAAAAGACAGAAACUUUUCGCUCACGAGAUGAUUUUUCGUUUUUAUUCAGAAAGAUCUUUUGAGUUGAUUCUUUUUUCUUCUGGUUGAUAUGCCUUUUUCCCAGUCAGCAGUAUUUUUUUAGAAUUUUUGAGGUACCACAAGUAUACGAAGUAUACAUAUUUCUACAGAGUGGUCUGUUUUUGACAGAUUCUAUUUUUGUUGAGUUGGUUGCUUGUUUUGAUGAAACUAUGGAUAGUAUCGGGGGGUACUAGCCAUGGAAAAGUGAGAAUACAGUAGCCCAACACCAAUAUAAAUAGAGUUCAAGUUUGCUACAGUACCAAAAGAGGUGGUAGUUUGUUUUCUUG
rnacentral:lncRNA from 1 species